CAGUAACAAUGGGGCAUUUCAUGCUAUCAGCAUUUCUGCUCUGUCUGGCUGGAAGUAUCCUUUGAACUGCUGAGUCUACUAAACCGAUGGUUAAAUUGGCUAAGCCCAAGCUAGAGUUUAAAUUCGGGGACAUCAUUAGGUUCCAUACAGGAACAGUUGGUAUAGGUGACAGCAGGUCAAGUGGAGAUCACUACGGCAUAGCCUUGGGUGAGGUCGAUGAGAAAGGAAAUGAGCUCUAUUUCCACAAAGUUGGCCAAGAUAGUUCAAACAGCCAUGGUGGACAGACUGGCUGUGUCACUAGUACACUGAAGAAAGACUCCCGUACUGCACGGCGUGUAGACAAUUACCAAGAUCAAGGGCAUGAGCUGACGGAGAAUGAAAAAAAAGCCAUCAGGAAAAGAUUUGAUGAAUGUAUGGCUUAUAAAGAUAUGGAGAAGAACAAACCCUGUUGUGGCGAAUUCAGCCUACUUGACAACAACUGUGAACACACUGCCACCUAUAUCCGCUAUGGGUCAGAUGGACGAGUCUCUUGCCAAGCUGCCGCCGUUAAACAACUUACCGGAAAUGCGUUCCCUACUAAGCUGUGUAAGAACAGGAGGAAGCAGUUCUGAAGAACAUUCAAGGCCACGCAAACAUUGGCGUGAUAGAGUAAAACCAAUGCUUUGAAUGAAUAAAG